rnacentral:rRNA from 1 species
AGUAGCCGCGGUAAUUCCAGCUCCAAUAGCGUAUAUUAAAGUUGUUGCAGUUAAAAAGCUCGUAGUUGAAUUUCGGGAUCAAUAUUUCGGUCAUGCCGUUGGUAUGCACUGUUAUCAUUGAUUUCUCACCUUCUAAAGAACCGUAAUGCCAUUAAUUUGGUGUUACGGGGAAUUAGGACUGUUACCUUGAAAAAAUUAGAGUGUUUAAAGCAGGCUCACGCUUGAAUACAUUAGCAUGGAAUAAUGAAAUAGGACGUUUGAUUCUAUUUUGUUGGUUUCUAGGAUCGACGUAAUGAUUAAUAGGGAUAGUUGGGGGCAUUAGUAUUCAAUUGUCAGAGGUGAAAUUCUUGGAUUUAUUGAAGACUAACUACUGCGAAAGCAUUUGCCAAGGAUGUUUUCAUUAAUCAAGAACGAAAGUUAGGGGAUCGAAGACGAUCAGAUACCGUCGUAGUCUUAACCAUAAACUAUGCCGACUAGGGAUCGGAUGAUGUUAUUUUUAAUGACUCAUUCGGCGCCUUAA